rnacentral:rRNA from 1 species
GACGAACGCUGGCGGCGUGCCUAAUACAUGCAAGUUGAGCGCUGAAGGUUGGUACUUGUACCAACUGGAUGAGCAGCGAACGGGUGAGUAACGCGUGGGGAAUCUGCCUUUGAGCGGGGGACAACAUUUGGAAACGAAUGCUAAUACCGCAUAAAAACUUUAAACACAAGUUUUAAGUUUGAAAGAUGCAAUUGCAUCACUCAAAGAUGAUCCCGCGUUGUAUUAGCUAGUUGGUGAGGUAAAGGCUCACCAAGGCGAUGAUACAUACUCGACCUGAGAGGGUGAUCGGCCACAUUGGGACUGAGACACGGCCCAAACUCCUACGGGAAGCAGCAGUAGGGAAUCUUCGGAAAUGGACGAAAGUCUGACCGAGCAACGCCGCGUGAGUGAAGAAGGUUUUCGGAUCGUAAAACUCUGUUGGUAGAGAAGAACGUUGGUGAGAGUGGAAAGCUCAUCAAGUGACGGUAACUACCCAGAAAGGGACGGCUAACUACGUG